CAGAUUUCACAUAAUUGAUUCAUGGAUAACAGUACAUCAGCUAUAAAGACACAAACAGCUACACUCCUAAAUAAAAAAUAAUUCAGCUCACCGACGUCUAGAAGAGCUUGCUUGCCCAGUCACAGGAUUUUAAGAUUGGCUUCAGGGUGACCGUUGAAGGAGGCACGGAAAGUAAACAUACCAAUGCCACAGCCCAGCAGCUGAGAACUCUGGGAGGAGGCACAGGGUCGCAACCAUUCAUUUAUCUUCUAGGCUAUCCUGACAUCUGACAGCCAUUGACAUCCCGAGCAUUCCAGCACUUCAGACCCACGCCUAAGAGGAGAUAAAUAUAGGUCUCUGACACCUGAGAUGUAUGAAAUGAAAGCUAAUGUGAAAAAUCGCCCUCAUUUUGUGCCUCAGUUGAGGUAAAUAAAACCCUUAAUCCUCUUCCUGCUGAAACUUUGUCUACAUCUGGCAUGCCAAAUAUUUCUGUCAAGACCGCUGUGUUUCUCCAAGAAUGUCAACAUCAUGCUCACAUGCCAGCUGUGGAUGUUUGAAAGAAAGUGGACCCCCAAAGCAGUGAUGCUGUUAGGAGGUAUGGCCUUAUUGGAGAAGGUGUGGUCUUAUUGGAGGAAGUGAGUCACUGUGGAUCCAGGCUUUAAGGUCUCUUUUGCUCAAGCAUCCCUCAGUGUGACUUUCAGCCAACAUCCUGUAGCACUCUCAGCUCCAGCAACACAUCUGCCUGAAUGCUGCAAUGCUCCAAUUAAUCAUAAAGGACUGAACUUUUGAAACUUUCCAUCCAUUUGAACUGAACUGGAAUCCAGUUGCAGAGAAGGAGGAGUGAUGAGCAAAGGGGUCAAGACCAGGCUGGUGAAACCACAGAAACAGCUGACCUGAACAAGGAGGAGCUCAUGGUCUCCAUACUGAUAGCUGGGAAACCAGCCUGGCACUGAUCCAGAACCCCUGAAUAUGGGUGUCAGUGAGGAGGCCUCGGAAAUCAAUGGGAGCCCAUCCCACAUGAAGGGAUACUCCCUCAGCCUAGACACACAGGGGAGGGCCUAGGCCCUAUCCCAAAGGAUAUGACAGACUCUGAAACCCCCCUCAUGGAAGGCAUCACCCUCCCUAAGGAGCAGAAAGGGUAUGGGAUAAGUAGGAUGUUGGGGGGGAGGGGAAGUGGGGAAGGAGAGGGAACUGGGAUUGACAUGUAAAACAAUCUUGUUUCUAAUUUAAAUUAAAAAAUGGAAAAGAACAAUGUUGACUCUAUUUCCUUUGAAAAAUAUUGCCUAGUUUUGAAGAAAUUGUGCUAUUUUAAGACCUAAUGUUUUCAAAGUAAAAGGAAAUAAAAAAUGUUGAUUCCACUAUUUAGAAAGGCACAGUAGCUUCGUGUAAUUUAAAUUUAAAUUUUGGUAGUUAAAAAUAAUAAAUAUUCUUGAGGUAUAAACCAAAAUAAUGUUCAGAAUUAUACUUAAAAAUACAAAAUAUAAUGAAGACAAAGCAAACAGAGAAUUACACUGUCACACUGGAGAUACUUGAAUGAAAAAGACAGAGAGAAGACUGAAUAAUCCUGUGACAAUAGCUGAGGAGAUGCAUUCAUUUAUUCUUUCAUUGCUGUCUCUAUUCUCAGUGAGUCAGUUCAAAAGCAAAUUCAGGUAUCCUAGGGAGUUUUGUAUUUCGAGCACUCUUGGAAAGACUAGGACAAAAUAUAUUUUUAAGCUACGGACAUCCCAUGCUCAGGAGGAUUUUCCAGGUAAGUUUCCUUUCUGUUUUUUGUUUGUUUGUUUUCAUUUUCAAGGUGUGUGUGUGUGUGUGUGUGUGUGUGUGUGUGUGUGUGUGUGUGUGUGUGGUUUCUUUUCUACCUUGUUUUGAGACAAGGUUUCUUGGUAGUCAUCGUUGCAUAGGUUGUGAGCUUUUGGAGAUUCUUCUGUUUCCUCUUCCCAGCUUGGCACAAGAAUGCUGCGGUUAUUUAUGUGUGUUACCAAGUUCAGCUUUUCUUGGGUUCUAGGAGUAUGAACUUAGAUCUUCCAGCUUGCAAGGCGAGCAUUUUAUGCACUCAGCCUUCCUCAUCACCCUUGUGUUUUUUUAUGAUAUGACACAAUUAUGCCACUCUUUGGCAUGUGUCCAAAGGACUUAAGUUCCUAUUCCACAGAUAACUGCUCAGCUAUGUUCAUUGCUUUUUUAGUCACAAAACUAGGAAACAAAAGAAACCUAAAUGUUCUUGACCAGAUGAACAAACAGUGAAAAAUAUGAUUCAUGUACACAAUGUAAUACUAUUCCGUUGCAGAAAAAUGAAAUUUGUAGGCAAUGAAUAGAAAAUAUUAUGGAGUAAUGGAGCAAGAAGAUAAAACCACACGUUCUCUCUCAUCUCUGGGUGCUAUCUCUGGAUAAUCAAAUGUGGGUGUAUAAACAACUGGAGUAAAAAUAGAAACAAGAAAAAGUGAGACAGGACCAGGGUGUGGAGGAAUGAAAGAGACAGGCAUAGAAGGACACAGAAAUUGAUAAGGAUUAUUGCACCAUGUGCUGCACUGUGUAAAUUUUCUCCUUUAUUAAGUGUUGCCCAGAAUUCUGCCCUCUUCAUCUCAAAUACCAAGACACCCAUGAAUGAGAGUACCUAAAUUCACUCAGACUUCUAUGAAAAAUUACCACAACCAAGAGAUCUUGUAAAUGGAAAGAUGUAUUUCUCACAGUUCUGGAAGGUUGGAAUCACAAGGCUAGGCCCUAAUGCAUCUGCUGUGCCAAGUCCACCUGCCUAUUCUGUGGCCUUCUUGUGUUGUCCUCACAUUCUAGAAAGGGUAGGGUGUUUCUGUGGUUCCUUUAAUGAAAAAAAAAAAAAUUCCAUCCAGAGAGCUGUGUGCUAAUAACCUUAUCCCUUCUGGUUUCUCACUGCCCCCCCCCCAAUUGGGGAUUAGCUGUAACGAAAUCAGAAAGGAAGGCAACUGACUGAGCAAGAAAACCUGUUAUUUCAAAUAAAGUGAAAUUUUGGUACCUUAGUACAAUGUGACUUGUUCUGUUCAACUGAUAUAAAUUGCUACAAUUCUACUGCCACUAUUUUCAGGAGAAGAAUAUACACCCCUAAAUAAUGGCAGUAAGUCAGAAAUAUGUUGAGCAAUAAUGAAACAAUAAGUCCAUCAUUUAGCUGGAGGAAAAUGCCACACAAACUUUUUGUUGUUUUAUUCAUCAAAUUUAUUUUUUCACCAAAAAUGUUAAAUUGGAAAACUACAGUGGAAAACAGCUCUUCAUAAUGUCCCUUAGUCUUAUUCAUUUGAGCUUGGAUUUAAGGAUUUGAAAGAGAAAUAAUUCAGCAACAUACACUUGUCAGUCAAAGAAGCCACAAAGAGAAUAUAGAGAUCAUUUAGAGUGUCUAAGGAUUCAAAAGGGAGUUGUCCCUUUGAUCUUCCAUUAAUUUCAUUUUAGAGGACAAAAUGGGAGAAUUGACUGGUAAAAUGUUAGGAAGAGUUACCCAACUGGGAACACGUAAAGCAGUAAAAAUAAUUCCUGACAGAGGAAGCAGUUUACACAAAAUCAUGAAUUCCACACAUACAAAUGUCAUAACUGUGGGUCUAAGAGACUGAAGACUGGACUGGAGAUGAGGUACAAUGAAGAGAAAUGAAAGGAUAGGAAACACAAAGCCCUGUGUAUUUCAGAACCACACCAACCACUGUUUCUGCAUAGCAAGUCAACUGAACAUUUUGAUGUCCAACAGAUUAGCGACACUGAAUACAUGAGCUUAUCUAACCCAGAACUAACAUAUUCUGAGCUUGCAUGAUUUAUUUUCUGUUUAUUAAUAUGACUUAUUUGGGAUAACAAUUACCACAUGCAAAUUACUAGGUGAAUUAUUCUUAAACACUCAAAUGUUGCUAGAUGAAUGGGGACAAUUGGCAAGGCCACUUUGGAAAAAAUGGAAAUGUAUAGCAAUCAUUGUGAACUUUUUAAAAAAUUUGGCCCUGUGAUUCUUGUUCAUGGUUCCAAAUAAUCAUAAAUUUUGUUUUACUUUGUCACUCUGAAUAUUUUUGCAUAUAUGUGAGCAGGU
rnacentral:lncRNA from 1 species